GGAGGCAAAACUGUGUUGUGUACUGGCAAGAGAAGUGUUCAAGACUUCCAAGGAGAGAACACUGAGCACUUUUCACACACAGAACAGCAAAAAGCCCAGAAAAAGAAAGACUGGUAGGUUGUUGAAUUGGCUGAUAACUGACUAGAAGACUUGAGUCGGCUCUCGGACAGCCAUCUGUUAGUAAUUUUCCCCUGAGGAAAAGUGGAGCUGCAAAUAACAAGAACACUUGUCCUACAGCAGAAGCAAACACAACUGCACAUCUGUGAGGCAGCACAUGUCCCCAACAAGCCUCAACAUGCAGGAACAUGACUCAUUUAAUCUACUGGCAAAGCAGGGUCGACGGCUGAUUAUAAGUAGUGUGGUUUUGGGGAAAUGAUUCCACCCACAUCACUUAAAAGGUAUCUAAAUAGUAAUGCGCAUGGACAAACUCAAACUCAGUUUCUAAGAAACCAUAAUGAAAC